rnacentral:pre_miRNA from 1 species
UCUUAGAGCGGUGGGCAUGGGAACAUAGAGGAAAGCCUAGAUUUCUUGGCCUCUUAAUUUAGGGGCAAAGAUUGUUUUGUGUUUUCCUGAUGCCUCCCAUGCCUAUAGUUCUUAG